GACGUAGGGCGCGAGCGUUGUCCGGAUUUAUUGGGCGUAAAGAGCUCGUAGGCGGCUUGUUGCGUCAGCUGUGAAAACCCGCAGCUCAACUGUGGGCUUGCAGCUGAUACGGGCAGGCUAGAGUUCGGUAGGGGAGAUCGGAAUUCCUGGUGUAGCGGUGAAAUGCGCAGAUAUCAGGAGGAACACCGGUGGCGAAGGCGGAUCUCUGGGCCGAUACUGACGCUGAGGAGCGAAAGCGUGGGGAGCGAACAGG
rnacentral:rRNA from 1 species